ACUCAAAUGAAUUGACGGGGGCCCGCACAAGCAGCGGAGCAUGUGGUUUAAUUCGAAGCAACGCGAAGAACCUUACCAGGACUUGACAUCCUCUGCAUUACUCGUAACUGAGGAAAUCCUUCGGGACAGAGAGACAGGUGGUGCAUGGUUGUCGUCAGCUCGUGUCGUGAGAUGUUGGGUUAAGUCCCGCAACGAGCGCAACCCUUAUCAUUAGUUGCUAACAGUAAGAUGAGCACUCUAAUGAGACUGCCGAGGAUAACUCGGAGGAAGGUGGGGAUGACGUCAAAUCAUCAUGCCCCUUAUGUUCUGGGCUACACACGUGCUACAAUGGGUAGAACAACGGGAAGCAAGCUAGUGAUAGCAAGCAAAUCCCUAAAAACUACUCUCAGUUCGGAUUGUAGGCUGCAACUCGCCUACAUGAAGUUGGAGUUGCUAGUAAUCGCGAAUCAGAAUGUCGCGGUGAAUACGUUCCCGGGCCUUGUACACACCGCCCGU
rnacentral:rRNA from 1 species